UUUUGUGUUGAAGAUCAAUAGACUGCGUCUGUGGACAUAAGUUAUUUGAAUCAACUUGAUCCUGUCUCAAAGAUUCUAAUUUGGUGUCCCAGCGUUUCAGAGGAUGAGCAAAGACAUCGAACACUUGGACCAAACUGCACUGGCCACCUAGAUGAACAUGCCUGAACAUCCACAGAACACAACAACAUCCGCCACUUCCACAAGAUCGCAACAUUAAAAUAAAAAAAGAAAUU